rnacentral:rRNA from 1 species
UACGGGGGGGGCAAGCGUUGUUCGGAAUUACUGGGCGUAAAGGGCGCGUAGGCGGCCUUCUAAGUCGGACGUGAAAUCCCUCGGCUUAACCGAGGAACUGCGUCCGAUACUGAAAGGCUUGAAUCCGGGAGAGGGAUGUGGAAUUCCAGGUGUAGCGGUGAAAUGCGUAGAUAUCGGAAGGAACAUCAGUGGCGAAAGCGACUUCCUGGACCAAUACUGACGCUCAUGUGCGAAAGCGUGGGGAGCAAACAGG